UACGUAGGGUGCAAGCGUUAAUCGGAAUUACUGGGCGUAAAGCGUGCGCAGGCGGUGAAGUAAGUCAGAUGUGAAAUCCCCGGGCUCAACCUGGGAACUGCAUUUGUGACUGCAACGCUGGAGUGCGGCAGAGGGGGAUGGAAUUCCGCGUGUAGCAGUGAAAUGCGUAGAUAUGCGGAGGAACACCGAUGGCGGAGGCAAUCCCCUGGGCCUGCACUGACGCUCAUGCACGAAAGCGUGGGGAGCAAACAGG
rnacentral:rRNA from 1 species